rnacentral:tRNA from 1 species
GUCCCCUUCGUCUAGAGGCCUAGGACACCGCCCUUUCACGGCGGCAACAGGGGUUCGAAUCCCGUAGGGGACG